ACAUUCUCAUCUAGCAUUCUAAAUUUUGAUUGCCUUUGCUUGAAAUUUUUUUUCCAUGGAGAGUUUGGAUGAAUUGCUUGAUGAGUAAGGAUGACCAACAUUUUAAGUGUGGGGGAGGGAGUUUUCUUGAUAAGUUGAUUUGAGAUGAUUUGGUGAGUUAUUGGUGCUGGAAUUGAGGUGUAAAAACAGUGAAGAAGUUUUGGAAUCAAAAUACUUGCUAUGUGACAAUAUUUAAAAGUUGAUAAGGAUCAGUGAUACAUUCUGGAACAAAAGCAGCAAGAGCAGAAUUCACUUUUGUGAUAACUUUUGGAAUGGUUCUGAGCAACAUUGUGUAGAAUUCGAUCUCCUGUUUAUUUAGGGCUAAAUAAAGUGCACUUACAGGCUUAAUUCUUUAAUCCGCAAGCCAAGAUUAUUUUGAAUUCCCAAGUUGAUACUGAAAUCUGGAAAUCAAACUUCAGAAUUCAGAAUCAGCAUUAAUACUUUGUUUAGUUUUGAUUUGCAUCUGUUGUGAAUAAAAGGACGUCCUGAUUUUCUGAGCAUUUGUGAUACACAUCAAGCUAGGAAAUGUAGAGUUUUGAUCCACUGAUUUGGUUGUAAACUUGUGGGACUGACACAGAAUGUAUAUCAAGUUGAAACUGAACACUGAUAUUCUGUCUUCACCUGUAGCUGCUGUUGAGGAAGUUGUUUCAGUUCUAAGUGCUCUUACAAGUUCCUGGAUUUGAAGCUGUUAUUGGAAGCUAAGUUAAUGGAAGUUGUUCUUCAGAGCAACUACUUCAAUUGAGCAGAAAGUUGAAGGUUCUGUUUAAUCAAAUAGUGGGCUCAUAAUUUUGUGAGAGGCAAUUGGUGUUUUAUCAAUGUAAUAGGAAUGCAAAUAUCAAGUUAAAUGGAAAGGAGUAUCAACUGAAUAAAAAGCAAAAUCAGAACAUCAAACUUAUCAUAAUCUGAAUUCCGAAAAGCUAUUCUAUGGAGUUGAAUUCUGAAAUCUAGAGAAGAUGGUAUUGCAGAAUUUAGGAACUGAUGUAGAAGCAGGCCAUAAAAGAUGUGAAGAGUUUUGAAGGUUAACAAAAUGUUGAGAUGCUGGAAUACAGAAUAGAGAAAGAAAAGGAAGGAAAUCUGCAGAACAUAGAAGUGCAGAAUAGUUUGGUGCUAUAGGAAUGUUUCGUUAUGUUUGCUGAGUUGCUGCACUUGUGAACUUAGGGAAAUCACAUUCCAGUACCAAGAUUCCAUUUCCUUCACAGCUGAUUCUUGAUACUGCACCUGAAACAGUAGUGGCUUUUGAUACUUUCUAAUUUGGAAGUUGGAAACUUCUUAAGAGGGCAGAAUUUAGAUACUGCAAAAAUCAAUUUGUUGAUUGUAACUGAAGUCCAGAAUCAAGAAUCCAAAUUUGAAUUGAAGAAGUGCUGGAAUUAUUCUAAGAUGGAGUUUGUUCUUGUAGAAAUUGAAGCUUGCAGAUGUGCUGAUUUUGAAGGAACAAGAACUUAAAUACCAAGAUGGAGUUUGUAUCAGAUUUAAAUUGGAAUGAGGAGCUAGUGACAAGUAGUUAAAAAGGGAAUUCCUCUAGAUUCAAACUCUGAAUUUAAAUCUGAAAAUUCAGGAUUUCUGUUUCAUAUUAAAAAUUCAUAUUCUUCUUGUUGAUCUUGAUCAGUAGUCAAGAUAUUUUCAUAUAGAUCUCUUCAAGGUUUGAUCUAAUGUUAGUCAUUGUUGGAAUUGAUUGAUGCUGAAUUGUUACUUUAUUAGCAGUUGAGAUAAAUACUGCACAGAAAAAAAUCAGAGCACUGAAAGAGGAAAGGCAGUGACAACAGCAAGGAAAAAGUUCUAUCUAUAGCUAGGGAAUACAAUUGCAGGAGUGCAGAAUGUAGUGAUUGUGAUUCCUGAAAAUGCUACUGAAGUUAUUGGGAACUGAAACUGGGUACAAAAUCAACAGUUUGGGUUUUGCAGUUUGUAAUUGCAGCAGGAUCAGAGUCAAGUUUUGUGCCAAUUCUUUAUGCUAUUUUUGAUCAGCAUCGUUGUGGAACCAAGGAGCAUUUUGUUCUGUUCAGAAAACAAAACUUACUGAUACCAAGUGGCCUUUUGCACUAGCCAAGCUGAUGGGGAGCAUUUAUUAACUGUUGGAGAAUUGCUAAUGCAUUAGGAAGUGUACAAGAAGGCAGAGUUGCAGAAACUGCAACUCUAUUACAGAAAAUAGCAUUUCUGAAUUUAUUCUACACUGCUCAGUUAUGAUGUUUGCUAAAUUUGGAACCUUAAAGUGUUGAAUUUAUGUGCUACAAUUUUAGAAGUUGUUCUUGAAAUUUCAUCCAAGGCUUUUAAAUUUGUUGCUGCUAAAAACUUGAAUUGCUGACUUCUUAGAGUACCAAUUCCAUUCUGUGGAGUGCCCAUUUCUUUGUGUAGUACUCUGUACAUGAAGAAAUUUAAGUUAACUUCUUAUCUUCUCAUUGAUAUUGGUUUUCCAGAAUUCAGAUUGGGUUUUAGAUCUGCUUUCAGUUCUGAAUUUUGUGUUGAUUAAUGCUAAUUAUGCACUUCAGUCUUUGAAUCAGAAAUGGCAUGGUAUGACUAAUGAUAUUUGUAUGUAUUGCUGAUCAAGCUUUGGUAAUUUAGUUAGGUGCUUAGUAUAUAUGAUGAUGGCAUCUAAUGAAGAUUUCUUGAGAAACAUUGGAGCUAGCUGAUAUUUGAAAAGGGAACUGCACUAUAGGAAACAGAAAACCCAUAAACUGUUAUGCAAAGAGAGAAGUGAUACAAUUUAGUAUUGGGAAGGAAAUUGGCAUACCACAUUACAUUCUUCUUGUGCAUUAGGAAACCUAGGUAAUGUGGACUUGUCUCAAGAUUAAGGAAAUGGAAGUUGCUGUUUGGCAGUAAAAUCGGAAGAUAAAUGAAUGCAGGAAUUGACAGUGCUAAUAUGUAGUAAAUCCAUGGUGUGGCUGCUGGGAUAAGAAGGAUACUGGAUGAACAGAUUGCAAUUCAGAAAUAGAACCUUGUAUCAAAACUGUGUCAGAAAUCAGGAGCAACAUCUAAAUAAGGAAGAAAUCAAAUUAAGUUUUGUAUGAUGCAGAAACAUUUAGUAUUUCAGCUUUCUAUAACUUUUAUAAUGUCAUAUCCUAAUUACUGGAAAAAGGAACAGUUGAUUAGAUUUAGAUUGUGUUAAGUUCUAAAAAGGAGUAACUAAGAAAGCUUGAUGUGGCAAUGUGUGUAUCAAAACUCUGCACUAGAAUAAAAUCUGGGCAGUAUUGAUAUGGCACAGAAAUUGAAACUGAUGUUGGAAUUUAUUGAGGAGCUGAAUGGCAAAACUUUUUAAUUGGACAGUUAUGAAUUUUGAUUCAGAAUUCGAAUUUGAGCAGGGAAGAUGGUUACUUUCUUUAAUCUGAUUGAAGUUUUCUUGAAGGAAGUAGUUGAAGACAGUGUGCUGCUGGAAACGAGUUAAGACAGAAAUUGAGAACAGAAUCUGCAAAAGAAAAAAAAAAGAGAGACAGUGGCUAGAAGAUUUCUUUGAAGCUGAUUACUUUGUUCAAGUUUCUGAUCAAUGAGAUUUCAAGUGGAAUUCUGUUAAGAUGUGUUCUUUACUCCAUGCUAAACCCUCCAUGAUUUGAAUUGGGAUCACCUAGACUUGUGAACUCCGAACUUAAUGAAAAUCUGCAGUCUAAUGUGCUGAAAAUUUCAAUUUGGCUCUAUUUAGAGGUCUGAAUUUCUGAAUUGCUCUAAGCAAAGUUAUCCAACAAACUGAAACAGAACACAGAAAUGCUGUAAGCAAAAGCCAGAUAAGAAACUAGAAGCAUCAAGUAUAUGAAAAUAGAAGACCAAUGAAGCUAUAAUGAGUUGCAAAAUUCUGUUUGCAGGUUGUCAGAUUUUGAAUUCCUAGUACUGAUGGGUGUUAUAGCCAUUGUGUAAUUUGUAGAUCUAUAAAGAGAUGAGCCAUGGCAAUGCAAAAAUCUGUGAAUUCUGCAAAUUGGUGCUUGCAUAAUUCUGUGAUCAGACUGCAGGAGAGGUUGAAUUUUUGUUGAAUCAAACUGAAGGUCCUAUACAGCAAAUUUCAGAUUGCUUAUUUCAAACUGGGAUGACUUUAAAGCAUCAAUUCUGUAACUUCAGAUUUCUGGGAAAGCUGUAAUGAUCUGAUCUCUGGCAGGAUUUAAGGUCCUGAAUCAAGUUUCUUGGUUGAUUGAGUAUGAAGAAUAGAAAAGG